GACGUAGGGGGCCAGCGUUGUUCGGAAUUACUGGGUGUAAAGGGUUCGUAGGCGGUGCGGCAAGUUGGGAGUGAAAUCUCUGGGCUUAACCCAGAGGCUGCUUCCAAAACUGCUGUGCUUGAGUGUGGGAGAGGCGCGUGGAAUUGCAGGUGUAGCGGUGAAAUGCGUAGAGAUCGGGAGGAACACCAGAGGCGAAGGCGGCUCGCUGGACAGUGACUGACACUCAACUACGAAAGCGUGGGGAGCAAACAGG
rnacentral:rRNA from 1 species